GGAAAGGCAUUAGAUAAGAGGGCAAAA
rnacentral:piRNA from 1 species